CCGGCACAGGCCAGCAUCGGUUUUCGCGGGGGAUAAGACCGACGGGAACGUAGCACCCUCCGGGGUGUGUUAUAGCCCGGCGGACGAUACCCUCGCGGGGACCGAGGUCCGCGCUCCGCAAGGAUGCUGGCGUAAUGGUCAUCAGUGACCCGUCUUGAAACACGGACCAAGGAGUCGUCCAUUAGAGCGAGCGUUUGGGUGUAAAACCCGCACGCGUAAUGAAAGUGAACGCAGGUGAGAGCUUCGGCGCAUCAUCGACCGAUCCUGAUGUUCUCGGAAGGAUUUGAGUAAGAGUUUUAACGGACGGACCCGAAAGACAGUGAACUAUGCUUGUAUAGGGUGAAGCCAGAGGAAACUCUGGUGGAGGCUCGCAGCGGUUCUGACGUGCAAAUCGAUCGUCAAAUAUGAGCAUGGGGGCGAAAGACUAAUCGAACUGUCUAGUAGCUGGUUACCGCCGAAGUUUCCCUCAGGAUAGCAGUGUUGAUCUUCAGUUUUAUGAGGUAAAGCGAAUGAUUAGGGACUCGGGGGCGCUAUAUUGCCUUCAUCCAUUCUCAAACUUUAAAUAUGUAAGAAGCCCUUGUUACUUAGUUGAACGUGGGCAUUCGAAUGUACCAACACUAGUGGGCCAUUUUUGGUAAGCAGAACUGGCGAUGCGGGAUGAACCGAACGCGGGGUUAAGGCGCCAGAGUGUACGCUCAUCAGACACCACAAAAGGCGUUAGUACAUCUUGACAGCAGGACGGUGGCCAUGGAAGUCGGAAUCCGCUAAGGACUGUGUAACAACUCACCUGCCGAAUGUACUAGCCCUGAAAAUGGAUGGCGCUCAAGCGUACCGCCCAUACCCCGCCCCCAGGGUAGAAACGAUGCCCUGGGGAGUAGGCGGCCGUGGAGGUCAGUGACGAAGCCUAGG
rnacentral:rRNA from 1 species